AAGUGGACUAAAGUGGGGGACGACCACUGGAUACUGUGGGUAAUACCGCAUAAGCCUGAGGGUGAAAGAUUAAUUGCCUAAGGAUGAGCUCGCGUCUGAUUAGCUAGUUGGUAGGGUAAGAGCCUACCAAGGCGACGAUCAGUAACUGGUCUGAGAGGAUGACCAGUCACACUGGGACUGAGACACGGCCCAGACUCCUACGGGAGGCAGCAGUGGGGAAUUUUCCGCAAUGGGCGAAAGCCUGACGGAGCAAUACCGCGUGGGGGAGGAAGGCCCUUGGGUUGUAAACCUCUUUUCUCAGGGAAGAAAACUGACGGUACCUGAGGAAUCAGCCUCGGCUAACUCCGUGCCAGCAGCCGCGGUAAUACGGAGGAGGCAAGCGUUAUCCGGAAUGAUUGGGCGUAAAGCGUCCGCAGGUGGCAGUGCCAGUCUGCUGUCAAAGCUCAGGGCUUAACCCUGAAAAGGCAGUGGAAACUGCACAGCUAGAGUGCGGUAGGGGCAGAGGGAAUUCCUGGUGUAGCGGUGAAAUGCGUAGAGAUCAGGAAGAACACCGGUGGCGAAAGCGCUCUGCUAGGCCGCAACUGACACUCAGGGACGAAAGCUAGGGGAGCGAAUGGGAUUAGAUACCCCAGUAGUC
rnacentral:rRNA from 1 species